rnacentral:rRNA from 1 species
GACGUAGGGCGCGAGCGUUGUCCGGAAUUAUUGGGCGUAAAGAGCUCGUAGGCGGUCAGUCGCGUCUGCUGUGAAAACUCGGGGCUUAACUCCGGGCCUGCAGUGGGUACGGGCUGACUAGAGUGCGGUAGGGGAGACUGGAAUUCCUGGUGUAGCGGUGAAAUGCGCAGAUAUCAGGAGGAACACCGGUGGCGAAGGCGGUGAGCUGGGCAGUAGCUGACACUGAGGCGCGACAGCGUGGGGAGCAACAGG